GUGAAUCAUCGAAUCUUUGAACGCAAAUUGCGCUUCCUGGUAUCCCGGGAAGUAUGCCUGUUUGAGGGUCAGUAUUAACAAAAACUCGGUUUGGUUGCAAAUUGUGACGUUUCCGGAGUUUGGGCUUAUCUUAACUUUUUUGGUUAAGGGGCUUAAAAUUGACCUUUUUUGCGCAUUUUUAGACGUACAUAAAUUUUUUUUUUUUUUCGUUUUUUUUUAGUGCCACAACUUUAUUUAAGC
rnacentral:misc_RNA from 1 species